rnacentral:rRNA from 1 species
ACCUGCCCUUGACUUCGGGAUAACUCCGGGAAACCGGGGCUAAUACCGGAUAUGAGCCGUCCUCGCAUGGGGGUGGUUGGAAAGUUUUUCGGUCAGGGAUGGGCUCGCGGCCUAUCAGCUUGUUGGUGGGGUGAUGGCCUACCAAGGCGACGACGGGUAGCCGGCCUGAGAGGGCGACCGGCCACACUGGGACUGAGACACGGCCCAGACUCCUACGGGAGGCAGCAGUGGGGAAUAUUGCACAAUGGGCGAAAGCCUGAUGCAGCGACGCCGCGUGAGGGAUGAAGGCCUUCGGGUUGUAAACCUCUUUCAGCAGGGAAGAAGCGCAAGUGACGGUACCUGCAGAAGAAGCGCCGGCUAACUACGUGCCAGCAGCCGCGGUAAUACGUAGGGCGCAAGCGUUGUCCGGAAUUAUUGGGCGUAAAGAGCUCGUAGGCGGUUUGUCGCGUCUGGUGUGAAAACUCGAGGCUCAACCUCGAGCUUGCAUCGGGUACGGGCAGACUAGAGUGCGGUAGGGGAGACUGGAAUUCCUGGUGUAGCGGUGGAAUGCGCAGAUAUCAGGAGGAACACCGAUGGCGAA